rnacentral:misc_RNA from 1 species
GGAAGUAAAAGUCGUAACAAGGUCUCCGUUGGUGAACCAGCGGAGGGAUCAUUAUCGAGUUAUUCAACUCCCAAACCCUAUGUGAACUUACCACUUGUUGCUUCGGCGCGCGCUUCGGCGCCGCCGAGGACACUUAAACUCUUUGUUUUUAUAAGCAUUUCUGAGUGGCCGCAAGGCAAAAUACAAAUGAAUCAAAACUUUCAACAACGGAUCUCUUGGUUCUGGCAUCGAUGAAGAACGCAGCGAAAUGCGAUAAGUAAUGUGAAUUGCAGAAUUCAGUGAAUCAUCGAAUCUUUGAACGCACAUUGCGCCCGCCAGCAUUCUGGCGGGCAUGCCUGUUCGAGCGUCAUUUCAACCCUCGAGCCCGACUUUUCGAAGGACGGCUCGGCGUUGAGGGACGGCAGACUCCCCCCGGCUUCUCGCCGGGGACGCCGCCCUCGAAAUCUAGUGGCGGCCCUCCGAGGCGACCUCUGCGUAGUAAUUUAUUCUCGCACCGGAAAGCUCAGAGCGGCCACGCCGUAAAACCCCAACUUUUUUCAGGUUGACCUCGAAUCAGGUAGGACUACCCGCUGAACCUAAGCAUAUCAAUAAGCGGAGG